rnacentral:rRNA from 1 species
GACGAACGCUGGCGGCGUGCUUAACACAUGCAAGUCGAACGGAAAGGCCUGCUUUCCCUUGUGGAUUGCGGGUACUCGAGUGGCGAACGGGUGAGUAACACGUGAGUGAUCUGCCCCCAACUUGGGUAUAAGCCUGGGAAACUGGGUCUAAUUCCCGAUAGGACUGCAGGGUGGUGCCUGUGGUGGAAAACGAUUUUCUAGUGGUUGGGGAUGAGCUCGCGGCCUAUCAGCUUGUUGGUGGGGUAAUGGCCUACCAAGGCGGCGACGGGUAGCCGGCCUGAGGGGGUGGACGGCCGCGUUGGGACUGAGAUACGGCCCAGACUCCUACGGGAGGCAGCAGUGGGGAAUAUUGCACAAUGGGCGGAAGCCUGAUGCAGCGACGCCGCGUGGGGGAUGACGGCCUUCGGGUUGUAAACUCCUUUCGACCGCGAGGAAGCCACCUGGUUGGAAGGGUGGUGACGGUAGUGGUAGAAGAAGCACCGGCUAACUACGUG